AAUAAAAAAAUUUAGUUAAAAUUUAUAACAUUAGCUUGUCAAGCUAAAAUUAUUAUUAUAAUAAUAAUUUUUA
rnacentral:tRNA from 1 species